UACGAAGGAUUCGAGCGUUAUCCGGAUUUAUUGGGUUUAAAGGGCGCGUAGGCGGCCUGCUAAGUCGAACGUGAAAUCCCCCGGGCUCAACCCGGGAACUGGCGUCCGAUACUGGAAGGCUUGAAUUCGGGGAGAGGGAUGCGGAAUUCCAGGUGUAGCGGUGAAAUGCGUAGAUAUCUGGAGGAACACCGGGUGGCGAAG
rnacentral:rRNA from 1 species